GAUGAACGCUGGCCGCGUGCCUAACACAUGCAAGUCGAACGAAGCACUUUAUUUGAUUUCUUCGGAAUGAAGGUUUAGUGACUGAGUGGCGGACGGGUGAGUAACGCGUGGGUAACCUGCCUCAUACAGGGGGAUAACAGCUGGAAACGGCUGCUAAUACCGCAUAAGCGCACAGCAUCGCAUGAUGCAGUGUGAAAAACUCCGGUGGUAUGAGAUGGACCCGCGUCUGAUUAGCCAGUUGGCAGGGUAACGGCCUACCAAAGCGACGAUCAGUAGCCGACCUGAGAGGGUGACCGGCACAUUGGGACUGAGACACGGCCCAAACUCCUACGGGAGGCAGCAGUGGGGGAAUAUUGGCACAAUGGGGGAAACCCUGAUGCAGCGACGCCGCGUGAGCGAAGAGUAUUUCGGUAUGUAAAGCUCUAUCAGCA
rnacentral:rRNA from 1 species